rnacentral:rRNA from 1 species
GACGAACGCUGGCGGCGUGCUUAACACAUGCAAGUGGAGCGACGAACCAGGGCUUGCCCUGGGGCAGAGCCGCGAACGGGUGAGUAACACGUGGGUUACCUGCCUCGAUGACCGGGACAACCCGAGGAAACUCGGGCUAAUCCCGGAUGUGCCCGCAAGGGGAAAGGAAGCUUCGGCCUCCGCAUCGAGAGGGGCCCGCGGCCCAUUAGCUUGUUGGUGAGGUAACGGCUCACCAAGGCUUCGAUGGGUAGUUGGUCUGAGAGGACGAUCAGCCACACUGGGACUGAGACACGGCCCAGACUCCUACGGGAGGCAGCAGUGGGGAAUCUUGCGCAAUGCGCGAAAGCGUGACGCAGCAACGCCGCGUGGGGGAAGAAGGCUUUCGGGUUGUAAACCCCUUUCAGUUGGGACGAAGCUCUGUCGGUUAAUAGCCGGUCGGAGUGACGGUACCUUCACAAGAAGCACCGGCUAACUACGUGCCAGCCGCCGCAGUAA